rnacentral:sRNA from 1 species
UGCUGAGGCUCAAGUUAAAAGUGGAGCAGCACGUGGAGCUGUACCAGAAAUACAGCAACAAUUCCUGGCGAUACCUCAGCAACCGGCUGCUGGCACCCAGCGACUCGCCAGAGUGGUUAUCUUUUGAUGUCACCGGAGUUGUGCGGCAGUGGUUGAGCCGCGGAGGGGAAAUUGAGGGCUUUCGCCUUAGCGCCCACUGCUCCUGUGACAGCAGGGAUAACACACUGCAAGUGGACAUCAACGGUGAGGCCUGCUUCCCUGGCCAUGCCCAACUGUGACGUGUGUGCGUGUGCGCGUUCCCAUCUGCCCCACGCCCCACUUAUCUAUCCCUCUGAGAGUGUGUGUGUAUGUCCCCUAUCCCCUGACUCCCACACCAAAGCAGGGUUCACUAC